UGGGGAAUAUUGCACAAUGGGCGGAAGCCUGAUGCAGCAACGCCGCGUGAGUGAUGAAGGCCUUCGGGUUGUAAAGCUCUGUCUUUUGGGACGAUAAUGACGGUACCAAAGGAGGAAGCCACGGCUAACUACGUGCCAGUAGCCGCGGUAAUACGGUAGGUGGCAAGCGUUGUCCGGAUUUACUGGGGCGUAAAGGAUGCGUAGGCGGAUUUUUAAGUGAGAUGUGAAAUACCCGGGCUUAACUUGGGUGCUGCAUUUCAAACUGGGAAUCUAGAGUGCGGGAGAGGAGAAUGGAAUUCCUAGUGUAGCGGUGAAAUGCGUAGAGAUUUAGGAAGAACACCAGUGGCGAAAGGCGAUUCUCUGGACCGUAACUGACGCUGAGGCAUGAAAGCGUGGGAUAGCAAACAGGAUUAGAUACCCU
rnacentral:rRNA from 1 species